rnacentral:rRNA from 1 species
UGGGGAAUUUUGCACAAUGGGCGAAACCCUGAUGCAGCGACGCCGCGUGAUUUAGAAGGCCUUCGGGUUGUAAAAAUCUUUUCUAUGGGAAGAAAAUUACAGUACCAUAGGAAUAAGGACCGGCUAAUUACGUGCCAGCAGCCCCGGUAAUACGUAAGGUCCGAGCGUUGUCUGGAAUCAUUGGGCGUAAAGGGUACGUAGGCGGGUAAGCAAGUUAGAAGUGAAAUCCUAUAGCUCAACUAUAGUAAGCUUUUAAAACUGCUCAUCUUGAGGUAUGAAAGGGAAAGUGGAAUUCCUAGUGUAGCGGUGAAAUGCGCAGAUAUUAGGAGGAAUACCGGUGGCGAAGGCGACUUUCUGGCCAUAACCUGACGCUGAGGUACGAAAGCGUGGGUAGCAAACAGG